GACGAACCGUGCGAACGUUGUUCGGAUUCACUGGGCUUAAAGGGUGUGUAGGCGGUCUGCCAAGUCAGGGGUGAAAUCUUUCGGCUCAACCGGAAAACUGCCUUUGAUACUGGUAGGCUCGAGGGAGGUAGGGGUUGCGGGAACUACCAGUGGAGCGGUGAAAUGCGUUGAUAUUGGUAGGAACGCCGGUGGCGAAAGCGCGCAACUGGAUCUCUUCUGACGCUGAAACACGAAAGCUAGGGGAGCAAACGGG
rnacentral:rRNA from 2 species